ensembl:lncRNA TMEM161B-DT TMEM161B divergent transcript
GGCGCAGGCGCAGCACAGGUACGUGGGCGGGCGGAUCGUGGUGGCUGCGCUUGCGAGGACCCUGAGGUAGAUUGGGUGGUUUCAACAGGAACGCAUCCACUGUCUGAGAGUUUAAACUUGAUUUUGUGAGGGGACGAACAGCGUGACAAUUAAAAGAAGAUCUGGGAAUCAAAAGCUUCCUGAGGCCUUCACCAGAAGCAGAUGCUGGUGCCGUGCUUCUACAGCCUGCAGAACUGAAGGACUUUACAGCUUCUCUUUCGCAUAUCCAAAUUGCCAGCAUCACCGCUCUUGCACUCCAAGCCAUUAUUAAGUAAAGUAAAGAACACAAACACUGUGAUACUGCUACACUUGAUCUGAUAACCAAGAAGUCUACUAAGUGACUAACAGAGCAACUGGGAACCUAAUUCUGACCAAAAAGGAGGAAUUGUUUGGCUAAUUGGAAGUGACAGAAACCUUGGGAGAAAGCAACCGCAUACCAAGGAUAAUUAUAAGAAGGUAACAUGGGCCCUAAAGGAUAGUGUCAAGAAACCUGAAACCCCCAAAUGAGGUGAGACUUGCAAAAAAUGCUAAGGAAGGACAAAAAACAGGCCUUUUAAAAUUCUGUUCAGAACCAGAAGAUGAUCAAGAAAGGGAAAUGCCCACUAGCAGCUUCUACUGUAAGGUUAGAGCUGACAGAGAAAGAACUCCUUAACUACUAUUUGCUUCAUUCUCUACAAAGGAAACUAGAGAAGUGGGUUGAUGUAAUAGAAAGAACAUGUGUUUGUGGGGCCAGGCAAACCUGGGUUUAAUUCUGUUUCAACACUGCUUAACAAAAUUUAUGGGAGGCUAUUGUUUUGGAUUGGGCUCCUGCACCAGGCCCCUCCGGACCAAACCAAAAUGGAGUCACUCAUACUAAAACUCCAGGUCACUGAACCAAAACUAAGUUGUUUAUCUGACCUUCCAAGAAAUCAGGAGGGAGAAAACAACCAAAUCUCCAAACAGGCCAGUUUUAAUCAGCGUGAUAAGGAAGUCCUCUCUUUUUUAACCCUAUAAAGAAAGUAACUUUUUGAAAUGAUCAAUACACUUUGUAUUCCUUAGUUCUGCUUUCUUUAGCCCCUUUCUGCCUAUAAAGCCCACUUCCUCUGCUCAACUUACUGAAGCAGUAUUCCAUUUUAUAGAAUGAGAUGCUGCCCAAUUCUGGAAUCACUAAUAAAAGCCAAUUAGAUCUUUACAUUUGUUGAAAUUUUGUCUUUGACAACAUUACUAGUUAUAUUAUUCUGGGUAUCCUUUUCCCCAUCUGUAAAAUGGACAUAGCGAUAUCCUUCCCAUCAGAUUUUUCUCAUUAAUAGAAGUAAUACAUUCAAAACACUGAGCCAGGCUCACACCAGUGAGCAACUUGUUAAUAUUACUCAGAAGCAUAUUAUAGAUAUUGACAGAAAGCAAUACUGUUCCUAAUUAGGGGAAGAAAUUCUAAGAGAGUACCUAAGAGUUUGAAUUUAGAUUAUAACAUUUGCUCUGAGUAUUUUACAUUACAGCCUUUGGGGGGAAAAGUACAAAUGAGAUCUGAGAACAGUGGUACUCAUCUUUGAGGAAUUAUGGAAAACGUAAUAGAACACUAAACAUGGGAAAACAUCGGCCUUCAGGUUGAAAAGUGGAAAUCUCAAUCCCUGAAUUUUUUUUUUUUUUUUACUAAGUAACUUUUUUGCCCAUUGGUGUCAUUUAACCAAAAGAAGAAGAAAUUCCAAAAAAAAAAAAAA